AACGAACGCUGGCGGCGUGCCUAAUACAUGCAAGUCGAACAGGGUAGCAAUACCUAGUGGCGCACGGGUGAGGAACGCGUGGAUAAUCUGCCUUAGAGUGGGGGAUAACUAGUCGAAAGAUUAGCUAAUACCGCAUAAGACCACAGGAGCUGCGGCUCUAGGGGUCAAAGGUUUUUCGCUCUAAGAUGAGUCCGCGUAAGAUUAGCUAGUUGGUGGGGUAACGGCUCACCAAGGCGACGAUCUUUAACUGGUCUGAGAGGAUGAUCAGUCACACUGGAACUGAGACACGGUCCAGACUCCUACGGGAGGCAGCAGUAGGGAAUAUUGCACAAUGGAGGAAACUCUGAUGCAGCGACGCCGCGUGAGUGAUGAAGGCCUUCGGGUCGUAAAGCUCUGUCGCAGGGGAAUAACACAAUGAAUGUACCCUGUAAGAAAGGAUCGGCUAACUUCGUGCCAGCCGCCGCAGUAACAC
rnacentral:rRNA from 1 species